GACGAACGCUGGCGGCGUGCUUAACACAUGCAAGUCGAACGAUGAAGCCGGAGCUUGCUCUGGUGAAUUAGUGGCGAACGGGUGAGUAACACGUGAGUAACCUGCCCUUGACUCUGGGAUAACUGCGGGAAACUGUAGCUAAUACCGGAUACGACCCUCGGAGGCAUCUCCUGGGGGUGGAAAGAAUUUCGGUAAAGGAUGGACUCGCGGCCUAUCAGCUAGUUGGUGAGGUAAAGGCUCACCAAGGCGACGACGGGUAGCCGGCCUGAGAGGGUGACCGGCCACACUGGGACUGAGACACGGCCCAGACUCCUACGGGAGGCAGCAGUGGGGAAUAUUGCACAAUGGGCGCAAGCCUGAUGCAGCAACGCCGCGUGAGGGGUGACGGCCUUCGGGUUGUAAACCUCUUUUAGCAGGGAAGAAGCGAAAGUGACGGUACCUGCAGAAAAAGCACCGGCUAACUACGUGCCAGCAGCCGCCGUAA
rnacentral:rRNA from 1 species